rnacentral:rRNA from 1 species
CGGGCGUAGCAAUACGUCAGUGGCAGACGGGUGAGUAACGCGUGGGAACAUACCCCUCGGUUCGGAAUAGCUCAGGGAAACUUGGAUUAAUACCGAAUACGGCCGAGAGGCGAAAGAUUUAUCGCCGAGGGAUUGGCCCGCGUCCGAUUAGCUAGUUGGUGAGGUAACGGCUCACCAAGGCGACGAUCGGUAGCUGGUCUGAGAGGAUGAUCAGCCACAUUGGGACUGAGGCACGGCCCAAACUCCUACGGGAGGCAGCAGUAGGGAAUAUUGGACAAUGGGCGAAAGCCUGAUCCAGCCAUGCCGCGUGAGUGAUGAAGGCCUUAGGGUUGUAAAGCUCUUUCGUCAGGGACGAUAAUGACGGUACCUGAAGAAGAAGCCCCGGCUAACUUCGUGCCAGCAGCCGCGGUAAUACGAAGGGGGCUAGCGUUGUUCGGAAUCACUGGGCGUAAAGCGCAUGUAGGCGGGUCUUUAAGUCAGGGGUGAAAUGCCAAGGCUCAACCUUGGAACUGCCCUUGAUACUGGAGACCUUGAGUCCGGGAGAGGUAAGUGGAACUGCGAGUGUAGAGGUGAAAUUCGUAGAUAUUCGCA